rnacentral:rRNA from 1 species
AAGUCGUGUCAUAUGCAGUAAUGUAUAUGGGUAGGGGAGCGUUCUCAUCGGAUUGAAGCAGUACCGUAAGGAGUUGUGGACUGGUGAGAAGUGAGAAUGUCGGUAUGAGUAGCGAAAAGAAUGGUGAGAAUCCAUUCCACCGAAAGCCUAAGGGUUCCUGAGCAACGAUCGUCGUCUCAGGGUAAGUCGGGACCUAAGCCGAGGCGGAAAAGCGUAGGCGAUGGACAACAGGUUGAAAUUCCUGUACCGGUGUGAAUCGUUUGAUCGAUGGAGUGACACAGUAAGGUAGGUCAGCACGCGAUUGGAAGUGCGUGUUUAAGCAUGUAGGUUGAGCUAUAGGCAAAUCCGUAGCUCUAAAAGCUGAGAUGUGAUGACGAGCUGUUUACAGCGAAGUGAUUGAUCCUACACUGUCGAGAAAAGCUUCUAGGUAGAGACACAUCGCCCGUACCAAAACCGACACAGGUAGGCGGGGAGAGAAUCCUAAGGUGCGCGGGAAAACCCUCGUUAAGGAACUCGGCAAAAUGCCUCCGUAACUUCGGGAAAAGGAGGACUCAUGUAGUGUGAAGUGCAGCAACGCAUGGAGCAUGAAUGAGUGGCACAAGAGAGGCGCAAGCGACUGUUUACCACAAACACAGGUGCCUGCUAAAGCGAAAGCUGACGUAUAGGUGCUGACACCUGCCCGGUGCUGGAAGGUUAAGAGGAGGGGUUAGACUUCGGUCGAAGCUCUGAAUUGAAGCCNNNNNNNNNNGUAGCGAAAUUCCUUGUCGGGUAAGUUCCGACCCGCACGAAAGGUGUAACGACUUGCGCACUGUCUCAACGAGGGACCCGGUGAAAUUGAAGUACCUGUGAAGAUGCAGGUUACCCGCGACUGGACAGAAAGACCCCAUGGAGCUUUACUGCAACCUAAGAUUGAACUUAGUUAAUGAAUGUACAGGAUAGGUGGGAGACUUAGAAUCUAGGGCGCCAGUCUUAGAGGAGUCGUUGUUGGGAUACCACCCUUUGAUUAAUUGAUUUCUAACAGGCCGAUUAACAACCGGCUGGACAGUCUUAGG